UGUGGAACGACUUUCAUCUGGAUAGUCUAGGGAAGACGCUUUAUAAGCCAUCCUGUGGAUUUCAUCCUAAUCAAAGACAUACAGUUCUGAAGAUACAUAGACUUCGCCGUAUUUACUAAAAUACGCAUCACAGGUACAAAUACACAAACAUUUAGUAGACGUGUAUCAUGCUGUCAAACACAGUCCUUUCUUGUUACUCGCGUAUUAGCCUUUGUUCAUUUACUCAUACAGGCAUUGAAGUUUUGUGGAGUGCCAGUUGUGUCCCGGGUACUAUGCUGUAUUGAGGGAACACCAGCAGUCAAGGCGGACAUAUUGUCUACCUUCAUGUAGUUUCCAAUCUAGGACGGUGAUGGAGGUUAAAAAAUUAUAUACUUAAUUAAUUACAAGUACUAUGACAGAAAAGUGUAGAAUUUUAUGAGCCUGGGUACUCCAUCUAAUUUGGAGAUUUAGAGGUGGUUUCCUGGGGAAUAUUUGUAGCCACGGACACUAAGAUUCUAAGGGUAAAUGCACAUAUUCAUGUUCCUGCGUGUGCACUGGCAGUCUCCUACUUAGGUAUACUGAAGUAUGACCUGACUGUAAAUGAUUGUAUCAGGAAGCCCACA